GACGAACGCUGGCGGCGUGCUUAACACAUGCAAGUCGAGCGAUGAACCCGGAGCUUGCUCUGGGGGAUUAGUGGCGAACGGGUGAGUAACACGUGAGUAACCUGCCCUGGACUCUGGGAUAAGCGUUGGAAACGACGUCUAAUACCGGAUAGGACCUUGGAUCGCAUGAUCUGGGGUGGAAAGUUUUUUCGGUCUGGGAUGGACUCGCGGCCUAUCAGCUUGUUGGUGAGGUAAUGGCUCACCAAGGCGUCGACGGGUAGCCGGCCUGAGAGGGUGACCGGCCACACUGGGACUGAGACACGGCCCAGACUCCUACGGGAGGCAGCAGUGGGGAAUAUUGCACAAUGGGCGAAAGCCUGAUGCAGCAACGCCGCGUGCGGGAUGACGGCCUUCGGGUUGUAAACCGCUUUUAGUAGGGAAGAAGGGCUUCGGCUUGACGGUACCUGCAGAAAAAGGACCGGCUAACUACGUG
rnacentral:rRNA from 1 species